UACGUAGGGGGCAAGCGUUGUCCGGAUUUAUUGGGCGUAAAGAGCGUGUAGGCGGCUAGGUAGGUCCGUUGUGAAAACUCGAGGCCCAACCUCGAGACGUCGAUGGAAACCAUCUAGCUAGAGUCCGGAAGAGGAGAGUGGAAUUCCUGGUGUAGCGGUGAAAUGCGCAGAUAUCAGGAAGAACACCCGUGGCGAAGGCGGCUCUCUGGUACGUGACUGACGCUGAGACGCGAAAGCGUGGGGAGCAAACAGG
rnacentral:rRNA from 1 species